CACGUAGGGAGCAAGCGUUGUCCGGAUUUAUUGGGCGUAAAGAGCUCGUAGGUGGUUCGGUAAGUCAGGUGUGAAACCUCCAGGCUCAACCUGGAGACGCCACUUGAUACUGCUGUGACUGGAGUCCGGUAGGGGAGCGUAGAAUUCCUGGUGUAGCGGUGAAAUGCGCAGAUAUCAGGAGGAACACCAGCGGCGAAGGCGGCGCUCUGGGCCGGUACUGACACUGAGGAGCGAAAGCGUGGGUAGCAAACAGG
rnacentral:rRNA from 1 species